rnacentral:misc_RNA from 1 species
GAAUUCAAACCUUGAUUCCAGUAAAUUAUGCUAUCAUUCCAUCUCAGCAUGAGAUUUCCAGGAUUACGAAGCCGAAACGAGUAUAACCCAGAUUGAAGAGCUUGGUUUACCGUGAAAUUCUGAUUGGGGACGAUGGUAUCCGUAGGAUUCUGAAAACUGGACCAGACCGGAAAGCCAGUGCCAUUUCGCAGCACUAAAUUGCCGGAAUCAUCCAGAGAGGCAGAGGUAACACCGAGAUGGCCAGUGUUAGAGUCCCAGACGACAGAACCAGAGCUGUUGACGAGUUGGAGAGUGCCCGUAGAGCGGAAAUGGAAGGUUCCACCAGCAUCAACGACGACGGAAGGGUUACCAGCAGUCCAGAUAGGGACACCACCAAAGUAGUUGAUGGCGGCGACAUAGCCGGAACCCACCUGGAAAAAUCCCACAAAAAAUGUCCCAUUGGGGGAAAGCCAGGUCUGGUUUGGGUUAGAAGCAGAUAGAGAGGAACCCGGCGAUAUUAUCGCCACUGAAAUGGAGAAGAGAAAGGAGAAG